UACGAAGGGGGCUAGCGUUGCUCGGAAUCACUGGGCGUAAAGCGCACGUAGGCGGAUUGUUAAGUCAGGGGGGAAAUCCUGGAGCUCAACUCCAGAACUGCCUUUGAUACUGGCGAUCUCGAGUCCGGGAGAGGUGAGUGGAACUGCGAGUGUAGAGGUGAAAUUCGUAGAUAUUCGCAAGAACACCAGUGGCGAAGGCGGCUCACUGGCCCGGUACUGACGCUGAGGUGCGAAAGCGUGGGGAGCAAACAGG
rnacentral:rRNA from 1 species